GCAGCCCCCCCUCUAAGCUCCCAGACAACAGGCGGCAUCAACUGUCAGCCAUGUGACUCAUUUACGUCAGGGAACCAUAGCCCUCGCCAACAUUUGACUGCAACUGCAGAAGAGACACCAAGUACCAACCAUCCAGCCGACCUCUUUCCAAAUUUCAGAUCGACAAUAUUAGGAGCAAAAUACAGUGAUGGUUUUAAGCCACUAAGUUCCAGGAACAUUGAAGAACAUUCUCAGGACAAUGAGAUACACCGUCACCCGUGCAUGGAGAUCUAAAAUGUCGAAUAGCUCACCGUGUCUUCUCUUCCCUGGAGAGAUGUGCUGCACGUGUGGAGCCGAGGAAGUGGGCAGUGCUCCAUGCUUCUGAGUGAGAGGGGUCUCCUGAUAUGCCACCAUGAGCCUUCCCUCAGAUUUUGGGGGAAGGUAUAGCUGGGCUACACCUGUGUAAAACUCUCACCAGACAGAAGGAAGCUUAGAGUACAGUGUUUUUGAGUGCUCAGCUUUUCUAUCUUCAUCAGACUGAAUAACUCAAGGGACAUCUAUUUAUCUUUCUUCUUUGGGUCUCCAGAAUAUAGCACAGUGCAUGCCAUGUGACUGGUAUUCAACGAAUAUCAAUUGAAACGGAAAGAGUCUCAUCUACACAGGCUCCAAACCAGCUCCUCCCUAUCUGCCUGCACUCACCCUCCCUGGGCAUGAUACAAAGUCAAAUGCUAUAAACUCUGACCUACAGGGCCCCACAGGAUCCACAAGUCCUCCAGCCCAUAACCUCUCUAGUGCAUCUCCAAUACUUGUCCUCUUGUUCACUGUCCUCCUUGCUCCUAAGUGCCAGGCCAGCACCUCCCAUAGCACCUCUGCAGUUGCUGUUCCCCCUGCCUGAAGUGCGCUUCCCCCAGACAUCAGUAAGGAUGGCUUCAUUUCCUUCAGGUCCGCACUCAAAAGUCAUUUUCCCACAGAUACCUUCCCUGUCCCCCUGACCUCAAUCUCACCCCCCCAAAUAUUUCAUAUCCCCUUCUUUUCCUUUUUUAUUCUCAUUGCACUUACAGCGAUCUUAUAUCCUGUACAUUUACCUACUCAUAUUGUUUACCAAGUGUCUCUCUGCUAGAAUAGAAGCUCCCUGAAUCCAA